rnacentral:rRNA from 1 species
CCAAUAGCGUAUAUUAAAGUUGCUGCAGUUAAAAAGCUCGUAGUUGAAUUUCGGGACCAAUAUGUCGGUCGUGCCUCGGUACGUACUGGCAUCGUUGGUUUCUCCCUUCUGACGAACCAUGAUGUCAUUUAUUUGGUGUCGUGGGGAAUCAGGACUGUUACUUUGAAAAAAUUAGAGUGUUUAAAGCAGGCUCACGCUUGAAUACAUUAGCAUGGAAUAAUGAAAUAGGACGCUUGAUUCUAUUUUGUUGGUUUCUAGGAUCGACGUAAUGAUUAAUAGGGAUAGUUGGGGGCAUUAGUAUUCAAUUGUCAGAGGUGAAAUUCUUGGAUUUAUUGAAGACUAACUACUGCGAAAGCAUUUGCCAAGGAUGUUUUCAUUAAUCAAGAACGAAAGUUAGGGGAUCGAAGACGAUCAGAUACCGUCGUAGUCUUAACCAUAAACUAUGCCGACUAGGGAUCGGAUGAUGUUAAUUUUUUAAUGACUCAUUCGGCGCCUUACG